UCCCUCUUAGCUCAGUUGGUAGAGCGCGUCACUAGUAUAAAAAACCACUGGUGUGUAUAUGACGAGGUCAGUCGUUCGAGUCGGCUAGAGGGAA